rnacentral:rRNA from 1 species
AUUGAACGCUGGCGGCAUGCUUUACACAUGCAAGUCGAACGGUAACAGGUCUUUCGGGAUGCUGACGAGUGGCGAACGGGUGAGUAAUGUAUCGGAACGUGCCCAGUAGUGGGGGAUAACUAACUCGAAAGAGUGGCUAAUACCGCAUGAGAUCUCUGGAUGAAAGCGGGGGGACCGUAAGGCCUCGCGCUACUGGAGCGGCCGAUAUCAGAUUAGGUAGUUGGUAGGGUAAAAGGCCUACCAAGCCAACGAUCUGUAGCUGGUCUGAGAGGACGACCAGCCACACUGGGACUGAGACACGGCCCAGACUCCUACGGGAGGCAGCAGUGGGGAAUUUUGGACAAUGGGCGCAAGCCUGAUCCAGCAAUGCCGCGUGCAGGACGAAGGCCUUCGGGUUGUAAACUGCUUUUGUACGGAACGAAAAGCCUCUGGUUAAUACCUGGGGGUCAUGACGGUACCGUAAGAAUAAGCACCGGCUAACUACGUG